AAUGUAUCGGAACGUGCCUAGUAGCGGGGGAUAACUACGCGAAAGCGUAGCUAAUACCGCAUACGCCCUACGGGGGAAAGCAGGGGAUCGCAAGACCUUGCACUAUUAGAGCGGCCGAUAUCGGAUUAGCUAGUUGGUGGGGUAACGGCUCACCAAGGCGACGAUCCGUAGCUGGUUUGAGAGGACGACCAGCCACACUGGGACUGAGACACGGCCCAGACUCCUACGGGAGGCAGCAGUGGGGAAUUUUGGACAAUGGGGGAAACCCUGAUCCAGCCAUCCCGCGUGUGCGAUGAAGGCCUUCGGGUUGUAAAGCACUUUUGGCAGGAAAGAAACGUCAUGGGCUAAUACCCCGUGAAACUGACGGUACCUGCAGAAUAAGCACCGGCUAACUACGUGCCAGCAGCCGCGGUAAUACGUAGGGUGCAAGCGUUAAUCGGAAUUACUGGGCGUAAAGCGUGCGCAGGCGGUUCGGAAAGAAAGAUGUGAAAUCCCAGAGCUUAACUUUGGAACUGCAUUUUUAACUACCGAGCUAGAGUGUGUCAGAGGG
rnacentral:rRNA from 1 species